UGAGUAACCUGCCCUUAACUCUGGGAUAAGCCUGGGAAACUGGGUCUAAUACCGGAUAUGACCUUUCCUCGCAUGGGGUUUGGUGGAAAGUUUUUUCGGCUGGGGAUGGGCCCGCGGCCUAUCAGCUUGUUGGUGGGGUGAUGGCCUACCAAGGCGACGACGGGUAGCCGGCCUGAGAGGGCGACCGGCCACACUGGGACUGAGACACGGCCCAGACUCCUACGGGAGGCAG
rnacentral:rRNA from 1 species